AUCCGAAGUAUUAUUCAAGGGAGUUCACUCCAGAAGACAAGAGAACUGUUGGUACAUGAUGAAUAUAAAGCUCUAAGACUUGGUGCUGAAAGAUACUUCUCUCAGAAGUGUGCAUUUAUUGUUUGAUACCUUUGGUGAUACGUGCUGCUUCACCUACCAUCUCUCUGUAAGUGUGGUCUCACUUUCACUGUUAUUGCAACAUGUGUCAAGUGAAAUGAAAACAGAAAUUUGGGAAAGGAUAUAAUUAACCUACCUGUGAACAUUACCCUUAAAUAUUGUGCUAAUUACCUCAAUAAUUUAAAUCACUGCAGAUCUCAAACUUAUUUGUUAAAUAUUUAAUUCUGCAAAUUGUUUCUGAUACAGAGGUGUGGGUAGCUUUCUGUGAAUAUAACCUUCUAUAUAAAACUCCUUACAAAACCAUUGUAUAUUUGCACUUCAGCAGAAAAAUCCACUGUCAACAAGACUUUUAAUGGCAAUCACAGAAAACGUGCCCUGGGGCUAAGAGAUAUAGUGCCCUGCUACUCGUAAAUCUAAUGAACGUGUUGUGUGCUGAGUAGGCCACAGUAAAUUUCUGUCUGCACAUCUUCAGGUUUGAUUCCAUGGUAGUCUAGACUGGAAAGUUUCUUCUGCCUUGUUUCUUUGGCUGUGGUGCAGUUGUGUGGUUGUUUCUUAUCUAUUCACCUGAUUACUUAAGUCACUGACCACAUCAUGUCCUCGAUCUUCAUCCCUUCUCAUCAAGUGAAUAUUUUGUGCUGCUUCUAGGCCAUGGGGACACUCUCAGCCACUGCUGCUGGGGAGCCAGGCCAUGGGAGCUGGGCAAACUGCCAGACGGGAGGAUGGCUGGCAGAGAGGGCGCAGGAGGUGGGGGGCAGGCCCUUACAACCCUGGCACCCCAGUCUUUCAUCCCAUGGAAAAAACAAGUCUCUCUUCCUUCAUCUUUCCCCAGGGGCAUCAGCCAGCCCUGUGUUUCAGGCUGUACCGGAUGGCAGUACUUCUUUGUUUUUGUAAUGUAUGUCUCCUUUACUGAGAAAGAAGAUGGAAGAUUGGCUUUGACAUUGUGUUGCUGCACUGUAAAUUUUACUAUUAGAGUAAAGUGCAAAGGUACCCUAAAUCCAUGUGAUGGCUCACACCAGACCUCUGUCAGGAGCUCUUUGAUUAGAUUUCCUAGGAAGUCAAAACACUGCACCAAAAUGGUAGCAAGAAGGACUGUGCAGUGCUGGAAGAUCUCAUCCUGCCUGCUCACAGUGCUGACUGUGCUUCUGCUUUUUGAGAAGAAAGGGAAAGAAAGAUGGAGAAAGAGGAGAUGA
ensembl:lncRNA